rnacentral:rRNA from 1 species
GACGAACGCUGGCGGCGUGCUUAACACAUGCAAGUCGAACGGAAAGGCCCUGCUUUUGUGGGGUGCUCGAGUGGCGAACGGGUGAGUAACACGUGAGUAACCUGCCCUUGACUUUGGGAUAACUUCAGGAAACUGGGGCUAAUACCGGAUAGGAGCUCCUGCUGCAUGGUGGGGGUUGGAAAGUUUCGGCGGUUGGGGAUGGACUCGCGGCUUAUCAGCUUGUUGGUGGGGUAGUGGCUUACCAAGGCUUUGACGGGUAGCCGGCCUGAGAGGGUGACCGGCCACAUUGGGACUGAGAUACGGCCCAGGCUCCUACGGGAGGCAGCAGUGGGGAAUAUUGCGCAAUGGGCGGAAGCCUGAUGCAGCAACGCCGCGUGCGGGAUGACGGCCUUCGGGUUGUAAACCGCUUUCGCCUGUGACGAAGCGUGAGUGACGGUAAUGGGUAAAGAAGCACCGGCUAACUACGUG